UCUGACAUUCUUUUCAUGUAUUUAAUGCAAUCAAAAAAGAAUCCACAGCUAACCACCUGUCCUGGGUGGCAUGAGAACCAUGGGCUGAGGAUUGGACAAGCUUGCUCUACAAUAUUCAAAGGCCACAGAUCAGCCCUGGGGUUCAGAGGGAUCCUGACGGCUACUCCUCAAGAUCCUCUCUGUUGUGAUUCAUCCCCCCCGGGCCCUACAGUUUCUCCUUCCUGACUCUUACAUUUCUUUGGAUGGCAUCAUUAUUUACCUGUCUCCUCCCAUAGUUAGGUGCCAAGCACUGUGGAUUCUGCCCCUCAGUGUCCAGACACCCAUUUUCCUUCCCACUGUUCCUUCCCCAUGGAGAAGCCUGUGGCUGGCUGACAGCAGAGAGAGAUGCUCAACUUGGAGAAGGUGUUACCUGGGCCAGGUGGGGAAGGUUUGUUUGCAGAGCAAAGAAGUGAAGGAAGUAUUAACCCUUUGCAUGGCCUCCUGAGAAUCCGACAAGACGUAAAUAGCCAAGAAUAUCUGUGGAACUUAAUCACUGAGUUACAGUAUUUAUCACUGCAAGUGUGUUGUUCAUUGACACUAUAAAGCCAUGUGGAAUUAAGCAGCCUUGAAACACAAAAUGGAGAAAGGCUGAGAGCUGAGAAUUGUUGCCUUCAGGAAAAUACAAUCAAUGUCAAGCAAACAACCACCCC
rnacentral:antisense_RNA from 1 species